AUCGAGGCUGAUGAAAUUGGUGUUUCAUCCAGUUGACUCUGUGAUGGGAAGCUCGAGAGGUCCUCAUCUAUUUAUUAUCUUCUUAUCCAAGCUAUUCAAGAUCCAUUACUUCACCUCAAUCGCACCAGAAUACCUUCUUGCUCUGUUGGCCAAAUCUCUCCGAUACAAACUUGGAAGUAGUGCUUGGGCAGUAGAGGAACACAAUGGAAGUGACAAUUUGCUGCCUAACAACAAGAAUUGUGCAAGACCCAAAGUUGGAGUGUGAAAAGUAAGAAUAUUGCUACACAAGGACUGAGGGUGGAGCUGGAGAUAUAGCAUGCAGACAUGGAGAUCCUAUAGGAAACAAUAAGGAAAAGUCACGGUGUAUGUAUUGUAAGAAGGUGCUAAAUUCUAGAGGAGCCACUAAACUGAAGUGGCAUUUGGCUAGUGGGUACAGGGAUGUGGCCAAAUGCACCCAAGUUCCUUAUGAGGUGCAGUAGGCCAUGGCUAAACACUUGACAGGGAGGAAGAACUAUAGUUGUCAAGGCGACAAGGAGAUCCAAGCUAGUGGAGGGGUGACUAAGCGCUUAGCAACAAGGCGCCAACACCUAGAUUUUUUAUAUCCCUUUUAUUUUUUAACAUUAUUUAAAGCCACAUCAAGUCAUCAAAAAUCAAUAGAACUAGAAGAAUUACUAAAGAAGCAAGCUAUUGAAAGUUUGAAAUAAUCAAAACAUACAUUUGGCUUAUACUAUUCUUGGAAACUAUCACUGUCCUAGUGUACCUAAUAUCCAUUUGGUUCAUAUUGUUCUUGAAAAACUUGAUCAUAUCUAUAAGCAAUUAAAUUGCUCAAUUUAGGGAAAUAUUCUUGUUCUCUAAUAAAUUUGACUGGUCAAAUGAUUUUAUUUUUACAUGAGACUUUUUGUAUUAGAUAGAGCAAAAAUCCAGCUCUCCAAAUCCAAGAUUGCUUAAAUCUGAUUUACAUUGAAGGAAUUAUGUAUUGGUCAAACCUUAUUUGGUGCGCAUGAAUGUUGUUUAAAAUUGUCUUAAAUGGAAAUUAAUUUUUAGACAUCAAAACAAAAGGUUGUUUUGUCGCUCUUUUGGUCUUAGUGAUGUUCUAUCACAAUAACAUUUAUGAAAUUUUUAGAUUUGACAAAAACCUUAGCAAUUGAAAGUUAGAAAUUGCCCCUAAAACUGAAAAAUCGGUUUUUGUUCUUGAACAAGGGAGUUGACUUUUUAUCCUUUUAGAAUUUGAAAUUUUAAUUAUUUUUAUUAGAUUUAUUUGGGUGGAGUCUCGCAUUUAUAAACUACUUAAAUUCAGUUUGGCAUAAAUCAGUGCCAAACCUGAUUCGAUACCAAUAGAAACGUAAUAAAUGGAAUAAAAAAUUAAACCAACGCCAGAUUUUCUUAGACCUCAAAAAAACAGCUUGGACACCAAGGUAACACAUAGACAACGGAAGGACUGAAGAAUGUGAAAAUGCAAUAGGCAAUAGAUGAGUAUGAUGAGGCAGUGAGAGAGAGAAACACCCACCAACAGCAAGGGCUGCCUUUGAUGAUUCGAUAGGGAUUACAAGCCUGAGGAUUUCAAGAUAGAAGCAAAGUGGAGACAGUUUUAGCAGGCUAGGGCAGACAGCCGAGUCUCACAUUAGAUGGAGAGAGUUAGGGCCGCAAGGGAAAGGAGUUGGUGUCCCUAGCUCUAGACCAGCUGCACCAGAGGCAAGGCCAACAGAGGAGGAGGAAGAAGCAAAGGCAAAGGGAUUUGCCUCUUAAGAGAUCACAGAGUGUGAGGGCACCCCCACCACCAGUACCAGAUAUGAUCCCAUUAAAGUACUUCAGCAAGAUCCUCUGAUACAUAGGGCCCAGAUACUACUACAGAGAACUAUAAAGCAAGCCUGGAGUAAUGUCCAUGGAUUUGCCAUUAAAGUCAAGGAAGCAUUGAUUUUU